rnacentral:rRNA from 1 species
ACGAACGCUGGCGGCGUGCUUCACACAUGCCAGUCGCACGCUGAAGCUCAGCUUGCUGGGUGGAUGAGUGGCGAACGGGUGAGUAACACGUGAGUAACCUGCCCUCUUCUUUGGGAUAACGCCCGGAAACGGGUGCUAAUACUGGAUAUUCACUGAUUCUCGCAUGGGGGUUGGUGGAAAGGUUUUUUCUGGUGGGGGAUGGGCUCGCGGCCUAUCAGCUUGUUGGUGGGGUGAUGGCCUACCAAGGCUUUGACGGGUAGCCGGCCUGAGAGGGUGACCGGUCACAUUGGGACUGAGAUACGGCCCAGACUCCUACGGGAGGCAGCAGUGGGGAAUAUUGCACAAUGGGCGAAAGCCUGAUGCAGCGACGCCGCGUGAGGGAUGGAGGCCUUCGGGUUGUAAACCUCUUUCGCUCAUGGUCAAGCCGCAGCUUUGGGUUGUGGUGAGGGUAGUGGGUAAAGAAGCGCCGGCUAACUACGUG